UACGUAGGGUGCAAGCGUUGUCCGGAAUUAUUGGGCGUAAAGAGCUUGUAGGCGGUUUGUCGCGUCUGCUGUGAAAUUUCGGGGCUCAACCCCGAACUUGCAGUGGGUACGGGCAGACUAGAGUGUGGUAGGGGAGACUGGAAUUCCUGGUGUAGCGGUGGAAUGCGCAGAUAUCAGGAGGAACACCAUGCGAAGGCAGAUCUCUGGGCCGAACUGACGCUGAGGAGCGAAAGCUGGGGAGCGAACAGGAUUAGAACUACCGAGUC
rnacentral:rRNA from 1 species